rnacentral:lncRNA from 1 species
AUGUCUUCCAGCUCAAGCCGCUCAUCGAGUGCCCGCAGGGCGCCCCGGUCAUCGACGAGAAGUUUGGGGCGCUGGGACCCCCGGAGCCGCGGCUGGGCAAGGUGCCUGAGGCGUAGGCUGCCAGGCUUCUCCAGCCAGGGCCCGCUUGGGGCACGGGGAUGGACGCAGGCGUGCGCUCGACCCCUGCCACCGCCACCAGCUCAGGGCCAGGCUGGGCCCGUGGCACCUGGGGCAGUGUGCACCCAGCAGCAGCCCAGGGCACCCAGGGACACUACGGACCCACCAGCAGCCCCAAGGCGCCUGGGGCAGUAUGGACCUGCCACCAGCCUGGGGCCAGGGCAGAUCUACAUGCCCAGAGGCACUACAGACCCGCCAGCAGCCCGGGGCCAGCAUGGACCCAGGGCCUGGCCACCCCCUGGGCAGAGGCACCCGGAGCCUGGGGCAAGGGGGCCCCCGGGGGCAGGCAGCCGGGGGGACCCGUGGGAGCUGGGCGAGUGUGGUGGGGGCAUGGCGCUGGGGAAUAAAGAAUGGCAGAGAUGUCAGUGUGCUGUCCUUCCUCCCUUCUUCCUCCUCACUGCUCUCACUCCAGCUCUUCCUUCCUCCAUCACUUCCUCCUUCACCCCCUCCUUUCUUCCCUCCUUGCCUUCUUCCCUCUAUUCCUCCAUCUCCUCCUUCCUUGCUCCCAUCCUUACCUUUUCUUCCCUUUCUUCCACCAUUCCCUUCUUCCUUGUCUUCCCCUUCCUCUUCCCUUUUGCUCUUCCUCCCCUCCUUCAUCCCUCCAUCUCUUCUGUCUGCUCCCUUCCUUCCAUCAUUCCCUUUCCUCCCUUUUCCCCUUCCUUUCUUCCCACCUUCCUUCCUUUUCCUUCUUCUCUUUCCUCCCAUGUCUCCUUCCUUUCUUCCCUCCUUCAUGCCUUCCAUUUAUCCUUCCUCUAUCCCUUCCUUGCCAUCUUCCUCCCUUCCCCUUGGCCUUCCUUCCUUCCAGCCUCCCUCCCUUCCUCACAAUUUUCUUCCCUUCCUUUCUUCCUCACUUGCUUCCUUCCUCCCUCAAUCCCUUCUUUCCCUGCUUCCUUCCUUCCUUUCACCAUUCCCUUCCUUCCCCCUUGCUCUCUUCCAGUCUUUCUUCCUUUCCCUCCUCCUUUCCCUUCCUCCCUUCCCUGCUUCAUGCCUUCCAUUUAUCCCUCCUCCAUCCCUUCCUUGCCAGCUUCCUCCCUUCCCCUUUUCCUCCCUUCCUUUCCC